GAGUCUGACAGGCAAGGACAGCUUCUGGCUGAGAUAUUUCAUAAACUUUUUGCUGAUUUCUUCACAGGUGUCCUAAGAAAGCAUCUGUGUAGAGAUCAUUUGUUGGACCUGCAGCUGGACUGGUUGGUAAAGGACAACAGAAGAUCUGUCCAUGUAGAAAGUACCUGAAACUGAAAAUGCUUCUGCUUUGUGCAUGCCGAUACACGCACCAUGGCCUGUCUGCCUCUUCAUGCAGAGCAGCUUCUGUCUUGCAGGACGUUGGCGUCAAGACUUUGGCACAAGAACGACACAGCCAGCUACCCUUACAUAAUUCAGCAAGGAGAUUUCUCUGAGGAGACACAGCUAGAUGCUCUGACUGUUUUCAAGGUUUUCCACUUCUGCAUUCCUGUUGAGACUGAGAAGAAAUGUCUACAAAGCAUUUUAAAGGUCAUAUUUGUGCAUCCUAUUUGUACCCGUCUCCAUCUCUUGGCUUGAAAGGUGAAAUGAUGGUUCUUUAUUUUGCUUGCUGUCUUUAGUUGCUUUGAUUUCUGGGUUCUGUUCCGCUAAUUUAACUGCCGGGUCCCCUUAAUUCAGGGGAGUAUUCUUGUUUUUAAAAAGGUAGAGAAACCAUUAUCUGCGGCAUAUUCUAAAAAGCGUUCUUUGUAUUAAGCUUAUUUUCUGAAAACCUAAAUAUUUCAGUAACAUUAUUUAAACUACGCAUCAUUAUAUGCAUCACUGACAGCAUGAAUUAAACCAAAAGAGUUCAGGCUACUUUGUCUUCAUAGUAAAAGAAUAAAUAAAGGAUACUCAAGGAAUUGAGAGGAUUA
rnacentral:lncRNA from 1 species